GAUGGAAUAAUGUAGGCAAGGAAAGUCAGCAAAAUAGAUUUGUAACUUCGGGAAAAAGAUUGGCUUAAUGGCUGGGCAUGCAGGUCCCAGUCCCAAACCCAUCGGUUAUCGCUUGACUACUCAAUUUGCUCCCACGAUGAGAGCGGGUCACCGCGGGAUAGCUGGGGGAUGGACUAGAAAUGGUUCCUUUGGAGACCUUCCCUGUGCAUCAAACAGUUACCUUAAAUCUAAUACGGACAAGGUGAAUCCAACUGUUUAAUUAAAACAAAGUAUUUCAAUGGUCCCCAUGGAUGUUCACGCAAUGUGAUUUCUACCCAGUGCUCUGAAUGUCAAAGUGAAGCAAUUCAACCAAACGCAGGUAAACGGCGGGAGUAACUAUGACUCUCUUAAGGUGGCCAAAUGCCUCAUCAUCUAAUUAGUGAUGUGCAUGAAUAGAUUAACAAGAUUUCCACUGUCCCUUUCUAAUAUCUAGUAAAACCACAGCCAAGGGAACGGGCUUGGAAGAAUCAAAGGGGAAAGAAGACCCUGUUGAGCUUGACUCUAGUCCGACUUUGUGAAAUGACUUGAGAGGUGUAGUAUAAGUGGGAUCCAUAAGGCGGAAGUGAAAUACCACUACUUUUGACAUUAUUUUACUUAUGUCCUGAAUCAAAAGCGGGGCACUGACCCUCUUUUUUGACCCAAGGUUAGCUCUACGGGCCGAUCUGGGCAGAAGACAUUGUCAGGUGGGGAGUUUGGUUUCGGCAGCAUAUCUGUUAAAAGAUAAUACAUGUGUCCUAAGAUGAGCUCAACGAGAUCAGAAAUCUCAUGUGAAACAAAAGGGCAAAAGCUCAUUUGAUUUGAUUUCCAGUACGAAUACAAAUCGUGAAAGCGUGGCCUAACGAUCCUUUAGACCUUCGGAAUUCAAAGCUAAAGGUGUCAUAAAAGCUACCAUAGGGAUAACUGGCUUGUGGCAUCCAAGAAUUCAUAGUGACAUUACUUUUUUAUCCAUCGAUGUUGGCUCUUCCUAUCAUUAUGAAGCAAAAUUCACCAAUUGUUGGAUUUUUCACCCACCAAUAGGGAAUGUGAGCUGGGUUUAGACCAUCGGGAGAUAGGUUAGUUUUACCCUAUUGAUGAUAGUGUCACAAUAGUAAUUCAACCAAGUACGAGAGGAACAGUUAUUUCACAUAAUUGGUCAUCAUACUUGGUUGAAAAACCAAUGGCACAAAGCUACUGUAUGCUGGAUUAUGACUGAACACCUCUACGUCAGAAUCCAGGAUCGAAGUGAUGCAUGAACCCUUUGUCUGCUUGCCGACCCACAGUAGGGGCCUCGGCCCCUAAGGGCACGUGUCAUUGGCUAAGCUAUCACGGCGGAAGGGUCAUGGUUACCAUCUUUAAGUACAAUUUCCAUCGAGCGAUGGGUAGAAUCCUUUGCAGAAGACUUAAAUAUGCAAUGAGGUAUUGUAAGUGGCAGAGUGGCCUUGCUGCCAUAAUCCAAUAAGAUUCAUCCCUUUGUCGCUCUGGUUC
rnacentral:ncRNA from 1 species